rnacentral:rRNA from 1 species
CCUACGGGAGGCUGCAGUGGGGAAUAUUGGGCAAUGGGCGCAAGCCUGACCCAGCAACGCCGCGUGAAGGAAGAAGUCUUUCGGGUUGUAAACUUCUUUUCUCAGUGACGCAGCAAAUGACCGUACCUGAGGAAUAAGCCCCGGCUAACUACGUGCCAGCAGCCGCGGGAAUACGCAGGUGGCAAGCGUUAGACGGAUUUACUGGGUGUAAAGGUCGUGUAGGCGGGAAAGCAAGUCAGAUGUGAAAACCAUGGGCCCAACCUGUAGCCUGCAUUUGAAACUGUUUUUCUUGAGUACUGGAGAGGCAGACGGAAUUCCUAGUGUAGCGGUUAAAUGCGUAGAUAUUAGGAGGAA